rnacentral:piRNA from 1 species
UACUUUAUGGACACCAAAUGUUGCUUUUAAG